GGUUAACCUGCCCUUGGGACGGAAACACCCCCGGGAAACUGGGGCUAAUUUCCGAUAGGUGAAGGCUCCUGGAAUGGAUCUUCGCCUAAAGGGUGCUUAGGCCAUGCUUCUAGGCGCUGCCCAAGGAUGGGGCCGCGGCCGAUCAGGUUGUUGGUGAGGUAAUGGCUCACCAAGCCUUUAACCGGUUCGGGCCGUGGGAGCGGGAGCCCGGAGAUGGGCACUGAGACAAGGGCCCAGGCCCUACGGGGCGCAGCAGUCGCGAAAACUCCGCAAUACGCGAAGGCGUGACGGGGCUAUCCCGAGUGCCGUCCGCUGAGGAUGGCUUUUCCCCAGUGUAGAUAGCUGGGGGAAUAAGGAGAGGGCAAGUCUGGUGUCAGCCGCCGCGGUAAUACCAGCUCUCCGAGUGGUGGGGACGUUUAUUGGGCCUGAAGCAUCCGUAGCCAGCUGAGCAAGUCCCCAGUUAAAUCCAGCGAUUUAAUCGUUGGACUGCUGGGGAUACUGUCCGGCUAGGGGGUGGGAGAGGCCGACGGUAUUCCCGGGGUAGGGGUGAAAUCCUAUAAUCCCGGGAGGACCACCAGUGGCGAAGGCUGUUGGCUAGAACAUGCCCGACGGUGAGGGAUGAAAGCUGGGGGAGCGAACCGGAUUAGAUACCCGGGUAGUCCCAGCUGUAAACGAUGCAGGCUAGGUGUUAGGGUGGCCACGUGCCGCUCUAGUGCCGCAGGGAAGCUGUUAAGCCUGCCGCCUGGGGAGUACGGCCGCAAGGCUGAAACUUAA
rnacentral:rRNA from 1 species